rnacentral:rRNA from 1 species
AGCUAACGCAUUAAAUAGACCGCCUGGGGAGUACGGCCGCAAGGUUAAAACUCAAAUGAAUUGACGGGGGCCCGCACAAGCGGUGGAGCAUGUGGUUUAAUUCGAUGCAACGCGAAGAACCUUACCAUCCCUUGACAUCCAGAGAAUCACCAAGAGAUUGAUGAGUGCCUUCGGGAACUCUGAGACAGGUGCUGCAUGGCUGUCGUCAGCUCGUGUUGUGAAAUGUUGGGUUAAGUCCCGCAACGAGCGCAACCCUUAUCCUUACUUGCCAGCGGGUCAUGCCGGGAACUUUAGGGAGACUGCCGGUGAUAAACCGGAGGAAGGUGGGGACGACGUCAAGUCAUCAUGGCCCUUACGGGAUGGGCUACACACGUGCUACAAUGGCAGAUACAAAGGGUUGCUAACCUGCGAGGGUAUGCGAAUCUCAUAAAGUCUGUCGUAGUCCGGAUCGGAGUCUGCAACUCGACUCCGUGAAGUUGGAAUCGCUAGUAAUCGUGGAUCAGAAUGCCACGGUGAAUACGUUCCCGGGCCUUGUACACACCGCCCGUCGCACCAUGGGAGUGGGCUGCACCAGAAGUCAUUAGCUUAACCUUUCGGGGAUGGCGAUGACCACGGUGUGGUUCAUGACUGGGGUGAAGUCGUAACAAGGUAGCCG